UACUAUUGAAUUGCAGGAUCCAUCUUCUGAUGAUUUUAAAGGUCGGGCUACAUUGGUGAAGGAACAGCUUACACCUGUUUACCAAAACGCAUUCCCUUCGUCCUUCAAAUCACUAGAUGUUGUUUCAUUCAGUAACGGAUCAAUCAUCAGCGUCAUUGACGUUUCAUUUGUAAGCACAUCUGCUCCUAAUAACAAUGAGAUUGCGAGCACUUUGAUCAACGCAACAGUCGUUGGAUUCGACAUUGAAAGCAGCUCCAUUAGCGUAAAUG